rnacentral:rRNA from 1 species
UACGAAGGGGGCUAGCGUUGCUCGGAAUCACUGGGCGUAAAGGGUGCGUAGGCGGGUGCUCAAGUCUGUGGUGAAAUCCUCCGGCUCAACCGGAGAACUGCCAUGGAUACUGGGUGUCUUGAGGGUGGUAGGGGUAUGCGGAACUAUCGGUGGAGCGGUGAAAUGCGUUGAUAUCGAUAGGAACUCCGGUGGCGAAGGCGGCAUACUGGACCACAUCUGACGCUGAGGCGCGAAAGCCAGGGGAGCGAACGGG